CCCUAUGGGGUGCACCAACCAGAUGAACUUCAGUACCAUCCGGCGCUCGGAGGCCGAGAUCCGCGACCUGGUCGAGACGGGCAAGAUGGAGGGUCUGACCGUCGGACUGAGCGACCGCUUCGGAAGCUAUGGGCUGGUCGGCGUGAUGAUCUUCAGCGGGCGCGAGAGGGUGCUCGAAGUCGACACCUUCCUGCUCAGUUGCCGCGCCCUCGGCAAAGGAGUGGAGCAUCGUAUGAUGGCGCGCCUCGGCGAGAUGGCCCGUGAGCGCGGACUCGAGCAUGUGGAGGCCAGGUUUGUGCGGUCGGCGCGGAAUCGUCCGGCGCUGAACUUCCUGCGCUCGGUCGAGCCCAGGGAAGAAUCGGCGCUCGAUGACGGGGCACUGUUCCGCUUCCCCUCAGCCGAAUUGGCGGGGGGGC
rnacentral:rRNA from 1 species